rnacentral:rRNA from 1 species
UUACAACUUUCAACAACGGAUCUCUUGGUUCUGGCAUCGAUGAAGAACGCAGCGAAAUGCGAUAAGUAGUGUGAAUUGCAGAAUUCAGUGAAUCAUCGAAUCUUUGAACGCACAUUGCGCCCCUUGGUAUUCCAUGGGGCAUGCCUGUCCGAGCGUCAU